AAGAGAGGCUCAGUGGAGGGGAAGAUGGAAAUGGCCACAGAUGUGGCCUCGCGGAAACAGUGUGGUUAGACUGGAGGUGAGAGGCCUGGAGAGAGGCAAGAGGCCUGGCAGGCGAGUGUGAAGGCCUGGAGGGAGGUGAGAGGCCUGGAGAGAGGUGAGAGGCCUGGAGAGAGGUGAGAGGCCUGGCAGGCGAGUGUGAAGGCCUGGAGAGAGGUGAGAGGCCUGGAGAGAGGCGAGAGGCCUGGAGAGAGGCGAGAGGCCUGGAGGGAGGUGAGAGGCCUGGAGAGAGGUGAGAGGCCUGGCAGGCGAGUGUGAAGGCCUGGAGGGAGGUGAGAGACCUGGCAGGCGAGUGUGAAGGCCUGGAGAGAGGCGAGAGGCCUGGAGAGAGGUGAGAGACCUGGCAGGCGAGUGUGAAGGCCUGGAGGGAGGUGAGAGGC
rnacentral:lncRNA from 1 species